rnacentral:rRNA from 1 species
GAUGAACGCUAGCGGCAGGCUUAAUACAUGCAAGUCGAGGGGUAGCAAGAUUGUAGCAAUACAAUUGUUGACGACCGGCAAACGGGUGCGGAACACGUACACAACCUUCCUACAAGUGGGGAAUAGCCCAGAGAAAUUUGGAUUAAUACCCCGUAACAUAGCGAUGUGGCAUCACAUUGCUAUUAUAGCUUCGGCGCUUGUUGAUGGGUGUGCGGCUGAUUAGAUAGUUGGCGGGGUAACGGCCAACCAAGUCUACGAUCAGUAGCUGAUGUGAGGGCAUGAUCAGCCACACGGGCACUGAGACACGGGCCCGACUCCUACGGGAGGCAGCAGUAAGGAAUAUUGGACAAUGGACGCAAGUCUGAUCCAGCCAUGCCGCGUGAAGGAUUAAGGUCCUCUGGAUUGUAAACUUCUUUUAUAAGGGACGAAAAAAGGUCUUUCUAGAUCGUCUGACGGUACCUUAUGAAUAAGCACCGGCUAACUCCGUGCCAGCCGCCGCAGUAAGAC